rnacentral:lncRNA from 1 species
UAGCCUACUUUAUUAUAGGAAGCCCAACGGUUUGGGCUUUUUUUGGAAGCCAAUUUGGGUUCCCUUCCUCUUAUUUGGCUCCGCCCUAAGUGGACCCACGGGAGCCAAUUUAUCGUCUAGCGGCGAUAUUUGAAAACACGGAUUUGUUUACGUUUCUAUCGAUAUGAUUGUUAAAUGGCUACGAAGGGCCAUUCACUAAACAAUAAUGUCCACCGUUCCAUGUAACAUUGUCAUGAAAUCCCUCACGGCAACAUAUUAAUGGUGCGUUCAUAAAUUACAGGGUUCCCCCCAAACCAUAACAUUCGAAAUUUCGGAGGGCGUGUCAUUAUUUCGCUCACCAGAUGGCCCCCCUGGGUCCACUUGGAAGAUGCGAAAUCGGAGGAAAGGUGAGCAAAGUAGGCUUCACUUUUCCAACACGCGAGAGAUAUCCUUCCUUUGGGCUUCCUAUAAUAAAGUAGGCUAUGGUAAGAGUCGCUUACGUCAACAAUUCGUGCCUCAUUACCAAACAGCAAAUGCACCGUGAGUGUGGAUUGUGGUCGAGGAGAAAUUGGCGAUGGUGAAGAAACUAUUGACAGGGAGGACCGUAAGACGUGAUAGUACUCUAGCAGCCCCAUCAAUUCCAACAGUUGCUUGAAGAUUUGGUCAAGACAGAAUUUGAUAAAAAGCCCUUUAUCAAGAGUAAAAAAAUUGAGGCAGGUGGUUCCCUCCGUACAGUUGAAAAACAAGCAUAUAGGUGCAAACUGGUGCAUACAGUUGCAACAGUUGCUGGAAGAUUUGGCCAUGACAGAAUUUGAUGAAGACCGCCCUUUGUCAAUAAAAGCAAUGCAUUUUGAAGAAGGCAAAAACAAAUCUCUGUAUCCUGACGAUGAAGUGGCUAGAGUUACCUUUGAGACUGUCAUCCAAGUGGAGAAAGAAAAAGCGAAAUGUAUUCUACCCCCUUCGAGACUGUCAUUACAUUGGCACACUAUCAUGUUGAUAACAUUAAUGAUUCUGGUGGAGUCACCAUCAGAGGGAAAGCAGUGGUCCCCCAAUUAAUCGAAAUCCCAAUCUCCUUUACUAGCAGACAUAAUUUUCAAUUUGGGUAUGGAAGGCUGGCACAAAACAUGUUAACCAGGAAACGGGUGAUGCAAACCAACUUCUUAAAACUCAGUGAUGACCGUUUAAUGUUCGUGUCAACUGCCCAUCCUUGAGGACCGCCCAGUCAACGAACCGCCAACCUAAUCGCAACCUGCUGCAACCAGCACUGAGAACUCGCGAAUACGAGGAACUACACAACUUUGUACGGAAGUUGCAAACCAACAAGAGCUCCUGGCUGUUCCUCAAGUCUGGCUGUAACGGAAGUCCACAACUUUUGUAAGAUCAUCAAGAUGACAAAGAGUUGAUACCUGCGACUUGGUUCAAAACCUAUAGCCUUCUGUUGCUUAAGUUGGCGUGAUGAAGUACCAGUGGUGAAGUCAGAAAUGGAAACAGUUAACUAUGGCUUUGUACUGCUGUUGGUUGUUGUAUCGUUGAUAACUGGGUCGACCACGAGUGUACCGAUGUCUGGGUAUGGUGGAUUCCAAGCAACAGCAGCGAAAGAAUAGUACACCACGUUGCAGCCUUACGUUGCAGCCUUAAAACACAACAUCGUCAACAUGCGUAAUACCUACUUACUACACCAUCAAGGCUCCAAGACUACACGAAAACUUACGCUGCCCUUGAGCUACUACACGGAGUUUCAUCACCAAAGCGCCUGAGUACUACCCAGAGGCUCCCAAUUACUAUUCUCGUCAUAGCUACUACACCGAGGUUGCAGCUUGUUACACCACCAAGGCGGUUGAGUACCACGCCGAAGCGUUCAAGUACUAUACUGCAACCUACUGCCGCGCACUAUUUGUCACCAACUGCCUUCAUCGUAUUGAUCUAGUUCUCAAUAAUGGCUAACUAUGGCUUUGUGCUGCUUUUUGGUUUUGCAUCGUUGAUGGCUGUGUCCAACAUUGGUGUACCGAUGUCUCGUGGGUAUGGCGGAUAGCAAACCGCAACGCCGCUGCCUUACUUCACAACAACAACAACAACAUACGCAACAGUCGGUUACUACACCACCAAGUCUUCAGAGUAUUACACCGAAACUUAUGAUGCCCCGAGCUACUACAUCGAGCUCCGAACUAUAAGUCUGCCCUGAGCUACAUUACCAAAGAGCCGGAGUACUACCCCAAAGCGCCCAAAUACUACAUUAAAACCUACGCUGCUCCUAGCUACUACACCGACGCCCCGAAGUAUUACUCUGCGUAUAAGGAGUCGUCUAAUAAAAAAGUCGUAUGCGUGCGGAAAGAGAAAAGGAAGUAGAAAUCAGUCGAGUGAGGAUCUCCUACACGUCAACAACUGCAGUGUACUGUCUGUCACCAACUGCAUUCCUCAUCGUGUAACCAAAUCGCAAUCAUGGCAGGUACAAUCACCGCACUGCUCGAGUUGAAAGGUUAAUCAGUAGAAGGAGAAACUUUUAAGCGAAAGAGAAAUGUCGAUAGAAGUCAGUCGAAUGAGCAUCUCCGAUAUGCAACAACCAGUUCGCAAUUAUGGUUAACCAUAGCGUCUGCCCCGAGCUACACCACCAAGGUACCAGAGUACUACACGAAUACGUAUGCUGCCCCAACCUACUACACCGAGGCUGCCAAGUGCAACUCUGUCCUCAGUUACUUACUGCACCAAUCCUAAGUACUACUUUGUUCCCAUCUACUACACCGAAGCUCUAGCUUAUUACAUCCCCGAAGCGGUCUACUAUUACACCGAAGCGCCUAAGUACUACACUGCAACCUACGCUGCACCACGGAGCCAUCGGAAUACUAAAUCAUAACCUAGCCUACUACACCGCCCCGAUCUACACAACCACAUCUGAGCCAGCCAAGUAUUGUUAUACAGCGCCUUCAAUUUUCUAGUAAGGUGGCAGUGACUUGUGUUAAGGGUUUUGAAUUGGAAUUGGAAAAAUCCUGAAAGUGUGCUGUUCAGUACUGGUUCUGUUGCAGCCUAUGCCGAUGAAAGGAAUUUUGUAUUUUGUUAAUUUCAUAUUAUGUACAGUUUAAAAAAGUUAAUUAACUGUUAUUAAACGUUUAUAUGUAAAGAAGGAAAAAAAUUAUGUAAAAUUUACAUGGUUAUGUAGAUUGAAAAAUUCUU